CCUACGGGUGACAGCAGUGAGGAAUAUUGGUCAAUGGGCUUACGCCUGAACCAGCCAAGUCGCGUGAGGGAAGACUGCCCUAUGGGUUGUAAACCUCUUUUGUCAGGGAGCAAUUGGCGCUACGUGUAGCGUUAUCGAGAGUACCUGAAGUAAAAGCAUCGGCUAACUCCGUGCCAGCAGCCGCGGUAAUACGGAGGAUGCGAGCGUUAUCCGGAUUUAUUGGGUUUAAAGGGUGCGUAGGCGGAAUGCCAAGUCAGCGGUAAAAUCGCGGGGCUCAACCUCGCUCCGCCGUUGAAACUGGCGUUCUUGAGUGGGCGAGAGGUAUGCGGAAUGCGUGGUGUAGGAGUGAAAUCCGUAGAUAUCUGGAGGAACAUCAGUGGCGAAGGCGACUAUCUGGCACAUAACUGACGCUGAGGAGCGAAAGCGUGGGUAGCAAACAGGAUUAGAUACCCCUGUAGUC
rnacentral:rRNA from 1 species